AGGGGGUGAGGGAGAGAUAGAGAGAGCGAGAGAGAGCGAGAGAGAGAGAGAGAGAGAGAGAGAGAGAGAGAGAGAGAGAGAGAGAGAGAGAGAGAGAGAGAGAGAGAGAGAGAGAGAGAGAGUGUUAGAGAGACAUAUACUGUUGCUCGACUACAACUAUGUGUUUGCUAGACAGGAUCUACCGACCAACUGAGGGCUGUAACACUGCGGGCCACUUGUGCUUGCUUGACCGUACCGCGUGUAUGGAAAUAUCACCAUUUUUCCCGCUCUGGAAUUGUGGCCGUUGAUAAAAGGAAAUAUGCCGCCGAGAUUGUUCAUUUCUUCGGGGUUCUUCGUGAGUUGCGUUGUCGCCUAUUGCUGCGGCAUAAGUUUUCCAAGUAAUAUCAACAUAGGCGGGCUCUUCCCCACCGGCUCGCACGAAUAUGAGGUGUUCCGCUUCGCCCUCGCGCAUCACAACGACAUCCCCAAGCUCGUGCCUCAGGUGGACAUGGUGGACGUGGGCAGUAGCUUCGCCAUGACAUAUGCUUUCUGCUCCCAGUUUGCCAAGGGCGUGUAUGCCAUCAUGGGCCUGUACGACCAGCGGACGGUCAACAUGCUCAUGUCCUUCUGUGGCUCUCUGCACGUGUGCUUCGUGACGCCCUCCUUCCCCAUCCACACCAACAACCAGUUCAUGCUGCAGCUCCGGCCCCAGCUGCAGGAGCCCCUCAUGGCGCUGGUGGAGCACUUCAGCUGGACCCGCUUCGUCUACAUGUACAGCUCCGACUCAGGUCUGUCCGUCCUCCAGAGGAUCUUGGACACUGCGGCGGAGCGCAGCUGGCAGGUGACCUCGGUGAACUUGGACACGCUGACGGAGGCGGCCUUCGUCAAGCUGCUGCAGGACCUGGAGUACAAGAAGGACUACCACGUGGUGCUCCACUGUGAGCUGGAGAGACUCAACUCCAUCCUCAACCUGAUUGCAGCUCAGAAGAGGACUCUGAAAAACUACCAUUAUAUACUCGUCAAUCUGGGCUUCCAGGACCUGAACUUCACAGCCUUCCAGUCGCUGGGGGCCAACGUGACGGGCUUCCAGCUGGUGAACACCUCCGACCCGGCUGUGGAGAAGCUCAACCAAGAGUGGCUCGACUUCGACAGCAAAGACAUCAAGCAGAACCGCAGGAGGCUGAAGUACACAGGGGCUUUAACCUAUGAUGGUGUCAGCGCCAUGGCGACAGCCUUCCAGAAUCUUCGGAAGCAGAGGAUAGAUAUCUCUCGGCGGGGGAACGCAGGGGAGUGCCUGGCCAAUCCCCCCGCCCCCUGGGGCCAGGGGAUCGACAUACAGAGGGCUCUGCAGCAGGUGCGUCUGGAGGGCCUCACAGGCCACGUCCAAUUUGAUGAGCGAGGUCAUCGUUCCAACUUCACCCUGACAGUUAUGGAGCUCAGCCACACUGGGCCCAUAAAGGUCGGUUACUGGAACGAGAACGAGAAAUAUGUCAACACUGUAGUCUAUGUUCCAGUCGUGGAGGAAUUCUACGGUCUGCAGAAUAAAACCUAUGUGGUUACUACUAUACUGGAGCCCCCGUAUGUGAUGCUGAAGAAGAACCACGAGCAGCUGGUGGGGAACGACCGCUACGAGGGCUACUGCGUGGAGCUGGCCUCGGAGAUCGCCAAGCACGUGGGCUUCAACUACCGCCUGGAGCUGGUGGGCGACGGCAAGUACGGCUCCAGGGACGCCGAAUCCAAGAUGUGGAACGGCAUGGUGGGGGAGCUGGUGUACGGGAAAGCCGAUGUGGCGGUGGCUCCCCUGACCAUCACCCUGGUGCGUGAGGAGAUGAUAGACUUCACCAAGCCCUUCAUGUCCCUGGGCAUCUCCAUCAUGAUCAAGAAGCCCACCAAGUCCAAGCCGGGGGUCUUCUCCUUCCUGGACCCGCUGGCCUACGAGAUCUGGAUGUGCAUCGUGUUUGCGUACAUCGGAGUCAGCGUGGUGCUGUUCCUGGUCAGUCGUUUCAGUCCAUACGAGUGGAAGGGCGAAGACGAAGAUGAUGAAGACGAGCAGCAAGCUGGAGCCAGCCCCUCUUCCCGACAUGCCGCUAACAACUCCUCCUCAGAACACGGACAAUCGCAUGGCUACUCCCAGUCCCAGGCACAGCCCCAGACCAGCGGCCAGAACCAGCAAAAGGAGAAGGAGGGAGGAGAAUACACCAAUGAGUUUGGGAUCUUCAACUCUCUCUGGUUCUCCCUGGGGGCCUUCAUGCAGCAGGGCUGUGACAUCUCCCCCAGGUCUCUGUCGGGUCGCAUCGUUGGGGGGGUGUGGUGGUUCUUCACCCUCAUCAUCAUCUCCUCCUACACGGCCAACCUGGCGGCCUUCCUCACCGUGGAGAGGAUGGUGUCCCCCAUCGAGAGCGCAGAGGACCUGGCCAAGCAGACGGAGAUCGCCUACGGGACCCUGGAAGGAGGCUCCACCAAGGAGUUCUUCAGGAGGUCCAAGAUCGCGGUGUUCGAGAAGAUGUGGUCGUUCAUGAAGAGCGCCGACCCCUCUGUGUUCGUCAAGAGCACCAACGAGGGCAUGACGCGCGUGCGCAAGUCAAAGGGCAAGUACGCCUACCUGCUGGAGUCCUCCAUGAACGAGUACAUCGAGCAGCGCAAGCCCUGCGACACCAUGAAGGUGGGCGGGAACCUGGACUCCAAGGGCUACGGGGUGGCCACGCCCAAGGGUUCCCCUCUCAGUAGCAGACAGUGGAGCUCCUUGUUCGUCUCCCCUCAUUCCAUUUUUCUCACUCUUUUCACUUUUACACAGAUUUCAUGUGUUGUUACUCAAAUGGGGGUAAUUAAGACAAACCCGUGAACCACAGAGGUAAUAUGUGUGGAGCAGGGGAGGUUUUUUUUCUCCAAUCACCCGCAAACAAUUCAGACUGGAGAGCCGUCAGAGAUCUAUUCGACCACAUUACUUACAAAUUACCAUGAGUAGCUGGUACCUCGAAAUGGCUGGGGUGAAAUUAGACCAGCCGACCAAUUGGGUGUUGAUUAACACACUGACUAUGAUGAAUGGAAAGGGAGCAUGAAAGAAGCAUGUCUGAGAAGGUAUUUUAUUAAUACACACUAGAAGGGCAGUUUGUUAAAUGCAGUAGUUAAUUGGUUUCUGCACAAUAUGAAUACACUAUUGUAGUCAUGCAGCAUUUUGUCGUAUAUUCUGUCCGUCUGUGUUCGCCUGUCUGUAAAUUGUCUGUCUGGUGGUCUGUCUGCUGUUUGUUUUUAUUUUAUUCCAACUGAUUACUCAGUGUUUGAUAAUGAAUACAUCAAAUGAGUUUUUCUGAAUGUUUCUGAACCACAUUUAGAGUCUCAGACAGACAAAAAGAUUCAACGCAGCAUAGCGGGCCAACGAUUUUAGUUGGAAAUAAGUCUUCAAAAACAAAUAAAAAGCAGUGAUCAUUUGUACGUUGUAAUAACUUUAGAGAAAUAAAUUCCUAUCGUGAAAUGAUCAUUGUUGGUCAUAGCAUUCCAUUGUAAUGCUUCCACUAAUAAUUUAUUACCAGACUCUGAAAGGGGCUAUAUGUUUUGCUGUUAUUAAUUUUGGGCUUUGGCAGUUACUCGUGUGGACAUGAAAUAAUUGAAUCGGUUCCAUUAUGCAUCAGGUAUCACACAGACAACCCAGCGGCAUUGGACAUACAAUCCUCAUCCACAAUGAACAUACCACCUCUGCCCUUUGCAGAGAAGCAAUUUGUGAGAGUCACACAGCUGGGGGGAAAAAAAGGAAUCAAAAUCUCUGUAUUGAAUCAUUGAGCAACUAACGGCACAAAGGAAGGGAGAAAAGACUUCCUGUGAAAAAGGAGCAUAAGAGUCAGCUGGCCUUACUAGAGCAGGGUAGUGAACAGUGGACGCAUAGGGCAGCAGAGCAUCUUCUCCCAUUUGCUGCUCUCUUUGAAGCCUAACCAAAUGUGCAUCUCUCUCGCGUUGAUUCAGUAAAACCAUGAUAGAAUUUAUUUUCAUCAUUGUUAUUAUUAUCAACAGAAAUCGAGUCUGCACGUCUCUGCUAACUUUAUUAUUAUCAACAACAUCUCAUUAUAACUAACCAAGCCCCACCAAUGCUCUUCUGGACUUUAGCUUCUCAUCUCUGGAACGACCAGCUUAGAGUACUUUCUUUGUACCACAAUGUGCUUGCUGUUGAUGACGACGUUGUUGUUAUUUGGGAAAUGAUGCAAAUGGGAAACCAAGCUUAGGCUGUUUACCAGAUGCUCUUAGCAGCUAUGAAACUAGAGACAGAGAGAGAUAAAUUGGGUUAAAUGUGCCCCAAAUGCCAGGUGAGUCUGGGCAUGUUUACAAAUUAAAGUGCUGUGGCCUCUCAAAUGUAUUAAUAUUAAUUUCCUAGAGAGGAUGAUACCUUCCGGAUAACAAGCACUAAAAGAUAACAUGCAGUUAUUGAUAUUAAUUGAGCGUCAAUAUAAUCUCCAUAAAAUGUGAAACACUGUAAUUUAAAAGCUGAACAUGACAACACAAAAUGCCACUUUGUUGGUUUAAUCUUUAGUACCCCCAAUUAACAGAUUUAAAAUCGCUGUAGGUACUAUUUAAGAGCUAUAAUUUGAGUGUAUUCUGAUAGAAAUCUAAUCUAACAGAUAUUCAUGAGGAAAAUUCUCUAUUGUGAAAUAUAUUUUCUGGUCGACUGUGUGCCUGCCUCUCUAUGAAACCAUUUGUAUUUGAGAGCUCUACCUGCUCCGACCAUCAGAUCAAUCAGGAUCUGAUCAUCUCUUCCCAUAUCCACUUUUUGGGGGAUUAUUAAAAAAAUCUUGAUCUCUUCUGCUCUUUACCACUCUCUAUCUUAUCAACUCUCAAAUAUUAUCGACAGCAGGUUGAACCCCCUUGAUGACAAAUAGCAUGCUAGUCAAUGCCUCUUAUUAUCAUUUAAAUAUGUGGCUGUGUUCCAUCGAUCCUUGCUGGCAUCGGUAUGACUUGAUAGAUAGAGAUAUUUAAUGAUGUGUUCGCGAUUCUAACCAAGUGCCAACUUUGUUGUUCUUUCCUUCAUUACAUUUUCAGGAUUGUUAUACUCAUGAAUGCACCUGCCAUCGUUAGAUGGGAUAAUAAUGUCACUCUGUUUACAAUGUUUACAAUGCCGCUGUCACGUUGAAAUUGUACCGGGGGCGAAAAUUGUACCGGGUACGUAAUCAGUUGUCCGUUGCCAGGCAACGAACAAAACAUUACGUAAGGGGUUGUCCGUUGCCAGGCAGGUUUCAAUCGCGCUCAUGUUGCCGAAGACAAAAUAAUGUAAUACAGAUAACGGAUCGCUAGAUAACAUUUGUUUUUACUUUAUAUUUGUAUUGCAUUUAAUUGUUUAAUCGAAUUUUGCUAGUAAACUGAGUGUUUAUUGUGUAUCAUAGUCUAGCUAGCUUGUGUUAAUUGAAUUUCCUUAAUUUAAUUUAGAGAAUAGAUUAUAGGUAAUAGAUAGAUAGAUAGAUAGAUAAUAGAUAGAUAGAUGGGUAGAUAGGUGAGCAGGCAUUUACUAACUGGUAAAUGUUUUUUAUUAUUAUUAUUCACGUUAUCCCCAUAACAUUUAGCUAUUACUGUGUAGGGAAAUAGAUAAAUACAAUGCAAUACAAUACAAAUAUAAAGUUAGGAACGCUAAUAAAUGUAAUUUGUAAAAUAAAUGUUAUCUGUCUUGUCGCGCUCAAUGAACGAGUUCGCGAAUGUUCAAGAACCUUCCCACGUCAUUCGACGCGAUCGGGCGUCGCGAUCGUCUGUUGCCAGGCAGGUUUGGAAUGGAUUUCUAUGGAUGACGUAGGCCGGUACAAUUUUCGCCCCUGGUACAAUUUUAACCUGACACCGCCCCCCCCCCCCUCUGUGUUUAGCAAACAGUUUAACAAUGGUUUUGUUACAAGUCCCCUGUCGAUGUGUUUUAGUUUUCUGUAUGUUCAAGUUGUCUAAUGAUUAACACAAAGUUCCCCUUCUAUCCCCCUACUAUUAUGACCGUUCCCAUAGAAACCCUGUAAACUUGGCAGUGUUAAAACUGAACGAGCAGGGCCUGUUGGACAAAUUGAAAAACAGAUGGUGGUAUGACAAGGGAGAGUGCGGCACCGGGGGAGGGGACUCCAAGGAUAAGACCAGUGCCCUGAGCCUCAGCAAUGUGGCC